GAUGAACGCUGGCGGCGUGCCUAACACAUGCAAGUCGAGCGGCAGCGAGGGGUGCUUGCACCCUGUCGGCGAGCGGCGGACGGCUGAGUAACGCGUGGGAACGUGCCCCAAAGUGAGGAAUAACUGCCCGAAAGGGUAGCUAAUACCGCAUAUUAUCUUCGGAUCAAAGGAUUUAUCCGCUUUGGGAGCGGCUCGCGUCGGAUUAGGUAGUUGGUGAGGUAAUGGCUCACCAAGCCGACGAUCCGUAGCUGGUCUGAGAGGAUGACCAGCCAGACUGGAACUGAGACACGGUCCAGACUCCUACGGGAAGCAGCAGUGAGGAAUCUUCCACAAUGGGCGAAAGCCCGAUGGAGCAACGCCGCGUGCAGGACGAAGGCCUUCGGGUUGUAAACUGCUUUUAUAAGUGAGGAAUAUGACGGUAACUUAUGAAUAAGGAUCGGCUAACUACGUG
rnacentral:rRNA from 1 species